rnacentral:lncRNA from 1 species
AGAAAAUGUAUUUUGGCCAGGCAUUAUAGUAUCAGUAAUUCCCUUUGGAAACCAAAUUUCCACUCUGUCAUCGUGCCUCUGAUGAUUAAGAACUGAGUCAGUUGAACGUGAUGCCUCUGGAAUGCCAACUGGCUGUGGAAAUGUGAAGAAGCCUGUGUGGUCACUGACACUUGAGCAGCACCCACAGCCCUGAAGAAAGGGCCAUCCCAAGAACACUUCCUGGGUGCUGUGUGAUGUCACAACCAGGUAGAGCACUGCUACUACUCUAAAAGGAAAAGAAUGUGGCUCCACCUUGCCAGGAAGAGGAAUCCGGCCAGCUUCCCACGGGCAAUUCUUUCAAGGACUUUCUAAAAACAGGGAAGACAAGGAGACUGCCUGGAAUGAUCUAUCACCUGAUCCCAUUGUGAUUUUAUAAGAGGAAAGUGCUUCUUUUCCAAGAACUCUUGAUAUUACUAUAGAACUGCUGUCACAUGUUGGCCACAUGACCCCAACACCACUUCCAACUGUUUGACCUGUUCCUGCCAAUUAUUGUUAUGCCUUCACACAGGUAAACAAGGUAUGAAAGGAUAAGUGCCAAAUUAAUUUUGAAGAAACUGGAUUCUGUUUAACCAGAUGCUAUCUGGCUUUUAAGUACACUCCUGCUAUUCUUAAACUCAGCAUAAGAGAAACUUUGAAUCCCCUAUCUCUUUUUCCAGGAAACAUUUGCAGCCCAUGCAGAUAAAAGGAGGAGGAGGAGAAGGAAGAAAAGGAGGACUAGCAGAAGGAAGAAGAGAAGAAGAAGGACAAGAAGAAGAUGAAAUGGAGGAGGAAGAGGGGAAGGAGGAGGAAAAGUCCUUUAGUGGAUACAAUUCCUUAAGACGAACUUUCCUUCAAAGAGGAAAUUUCCUCAUCUAUAAAAUGAAGAGGUUGCAUGAAAUCAACAGGGGAUAUGUUUCAUCAAUCAAAAUCUCAUGCGAAG